rnacentral:rRNA from 1 species
GAUGAACGCUGGCGGCGUGCCUAACACAUGCAAGUCGAGCGAAAAGACCACUAGCUUGCUCCUCUGACGUUAGCGGCGGACGGGUGAGUAACACGACGUUCACCUGCCUAUAAGACUGGGUUAGCUUAGGGAAACCGAUGCUAAUACGGAAUAAUAUCUGCAACCGCAGGGUUCAAUAGUUACAGACGGUUUUGCUGUCCUUUAUAGAUGGCUCCGGGCCGCUUUGGCUGGUUGGUAAGGUAACGGCUUACGAAGGCGACAAUGGGUAGCCGACCUGCUAGCGUGUACGGCCACAGUGGAAGUGAGCCACGGUCCAGAGUCCUACGGGAGGCAGCAGUAGCGAAGCGUCGGCACUGGGCGGAAUCCUGACGGAGGAGCGGAGCGUGAGUGAUGAAGGGCUUCGGAUCGUAAAACUGUGUUCGUAGGGAAGAACAAAUGUGUCAGUAGCUAUGCACGUCUUGACGGUACCUGAUCAGAAAGCACCGGCUAACUACGUG